ACACAAAAAAAAAUUAUUUUUCGUAUAUCCUUAAUGAUAUGGUUUAAGGGCAAUACAUAGAAACCACAAAUUUCUUACUGCGAAAAAUAUGCUUCUUUAG
rnacentral:ncRNA from 2 species